GACGAACUGUCCUAACGUUGUUCGGAAUCACUGGGCUUAAAGGGCGCGUAGGCGGUCGAUCAAGUCAGGGGUGAAAUCCUACAGCUUAACUGUAGAAGUGCCUUUGAUACUGGUUGUCUUGAGGGAGGUAGGGGUGUGUGGAACUCACAGUGGAGCGGUGAAAUGCGUUGAUAUUGUGAGGAACGCCGGAGGCGAAAGCGGCGCACUGGACCACAACUGACGCUGAGGCGCGAAAGCUAGGGGAGCAAACAGG
rnacentral:rRNA from 1 species